rnacentral:rRNA from 1 species
AUUGAACGCUGGCGGCGUGCUUAACACAUGCAAGUCGAACGGUAACAGGCCCUUCGGGGUGCUGACGAGUGGCGGACGGGUGAGUAAUGCGUAGGAAUCUGCCUUACAGUGGGGGAUAACCUAGGGAACUUAGGCUAAUACCGCAUAAGCUCUACGGAGGAAAGCGGGGGAUCGUAAGACCUCGCGCUGUUAGAUGAGCCUACGUCCGAUUAGCUAGUUGGUAGGGUAAAGGCCACCAAGGCGACGAUCGGUAGCUGGUCUGAGAGGACGAUCAGCCACACUGGGACUGAGACACGGCCCAGACUCCUACGGGAGGGCAGCAGUGGGGAAUAUUGGACAAUGGGCGCAAGCCUGAUCCAGCGACGCCGCGUGGGUGAAGAAGGCCUGCGGGGUUGUAAAGCCCUUUCGGUUGGGAAGAAAAGCCGGAUGCUAAUACCAUUCGGUCUUGACGUUAACUAACAAAAGAAGCA